rnacentral:lncRNA from 1 species
AUAUAAACAAAAAAAAGCUAUUUUUAAACGUACAGCUAGGGCAUGUUUGGUUCGCUUUUUUUUCACCUUGGGAUCGGAAUUGGAAUGGGUAAAUCCGUUUAUGGGUGUUUGGUACGCGAGAGUUCCAUUUCGAUUCCGAUUACUAAGUGGAAUGGAAAUCCCCCAAUCACCUCUUUUUCAAUCCGGUUUAGGAGGCCGGAUUGGAAGUUGAAUCAGGACGGAAUGGAUAUUUAUUCGGAUUAAAUUUAUUUUUUUAAUUUUUAAAUUAAAAUAUGAGUUAAAAUUUAAAAAUUAAAUUAUAUAAUUUUAAAUUUUAUUUUGAACUUAAAUUAAAAAUUAAAUUUUAAUCAAGUAUUUCGAAUCUAACUUAUGAAUUUGAAUUUAUUUUUUAAAAAAAAUAGAUUUAAAAUUUUUACAUUAUUUCAAAAUUUUGAUGUAAAUUUUUAAUAUUUAAUUUUAAAUUUGAAUUUAAAUUAAUAUAUUAUAAAGAUAAUAUUAGUAUAUUAAUUUGAUUAUAUUUUUUAUAUCCACCUCAACCAAACACCGACAAUGGGAAUAAUUUAUUCCGAUUCCGAUUCAGGUGAUGAACCAAACAGAAUUAGGUAAUAAGUCAUUCCGAUUCCGAUUCCAGCUUAUUUUGAUUACGAUUUCAAUUCCGAUUCCAACUUCGAACCAAACACGCCACUAGUGUUAUCUCUGUAAAAUUAUUAUUUUGCCAUCUAAAAAUACCUUUCUACCGUCACUAAUUUUUUUAUUUGUCUCUAAGUUAGGGACAGAAGAGGUAUUUUGAUUUUUUUUUUUUUUUUAACUGUGCUAGAAAUUU